GGAGGGGUGGCAGAGCGGCUGAAUGCACCGGUCUUGAAAACCGGCGGGCGUAAGCCCACGUGGGUUCGAAUCCCACCCCCUCCG
rnacentral:tRNA from 6 species